AAGGAAUAUUGGACAAUGGACGGAAGUCUGAUCCAGCCAUGCCGCGUGAAGGAUGAAGGCGCUCAGCGUUGUAAACUUCUUUUGGAUGGGGACAAUAAUCUCGAUUUAUCGGGACUUGAGGGUACCAUCAGAAUAAGCACCGGCUAACUCCGUGCCAGCAGCCGCGGUAAUACGGAGGGUGCAAGCGUUAUCCGGAAUCACUGGGUUUAAAGGGUGCGUAGGCGGUCAGAUAAGUCAGUCGUGAAAUUCCUCGGCUUAACCGGGUGGACUGCGAUUGAUACUGUUUGACUUGAAUGAGGUUGAGGUAGGCGGAAUGUGGCAUGUAGCGGUGAAAUGCUUAGAUAUGCCAUAGAACACCGAUUGCGAAGGCAGCUUGCUGGGCCUUCAUUGACGCUGGGGCACGAAAGCGUGGGGAGCAAAC
rnacentral:rRNA from 1 species